UUGACAUUUGACACUAAGAGAUCAAUAUGGCAUAUUCCCUUAAACAGAAUUUCAAGUUUUAAGAAAAUAUUCUAUUAAAAUUAAAAUGUUUGCCAAAAAUAACGUGUAAAUUAUGGUUCUUUUGGUGAGGAAACUAACGAUGCCACUUUAAGCAAGGUGAAUGCUUGAAAUAAACAUUCAACUAAAAGAAUGGAAGACAAUAGUCUUCUGGACAUGGUGAUUACAACUGUCGGGGUUAUUAUAACUAUGGCUCUACUGAGUUGUCUUUGCUGUUUGUGCAUGAAAUUAAGUGAUUUGAAGAUGCAACGCUACGUUCUAGAAAUGGCAAAUAAAAAUGGUGUUAAAAUUGAUUUAGACACAUUGGAUUCAAAGAAAGCGCAACCGCAAGAGGUAAAUGAAACAUGUACUAUAAUGAUACCGGAUGUCGCCAUAAUACUCUAGAGAAAUUUAUGACAGAAUUUAAAUGAAUCUUUAAUAUAUGCGCUUAAAGUUCACAAUGAAUUUACUACAUCAAUCAUUGCUGUACUGCAUCAAUAAGUAGAUUGGAAAUACAUGCAAAUGUUAUGCUGCUAUGAAAAUAUUAAAACAAUAAGCAAUUAUGCAUACCGUUCAACAUCAUAUAAAAUGCAUAAGCAAUGCUUAAAAAAAUAAGCAAUAAUUAAAGAUGUUUUUCAUGUGUAGUGUUACCACACUUAGCUUCUUUGUUAGAAAACAUUUGUAUCUGUUUAAAGUAAGCAAACAAUUUGGGCAUAUCCGCUUAAUUUACACCCCCAGUAGUCUUUAAGAUACUUAUAGUAAUACUUAAAGGAGCAAAUUAAAUAAUUCUAGUUAAAAGACUUAGUAUAAAACCCUGUGGGAAGGUAAUACAAGUCAUUUAUUAGCGCACAUUGAAUUGACCAUGAGAAUGUUUUUUUUUUUAUAAAAGUAAUUUCUACUUUUAUAAGUUAUAAUUCAUAUAGUUAGGGCCUAUAUGACACAUCUAAGUUUGUUUACACACAAUAAGUAAGAAACCAUAAUAGUUAUGUUAAAGGAUAUUGGAAUGUUUGCAACAACCAUAAUGUUAUAUAAGUUUCUUAGUCUAAGGUUUGAAAAUGUAUUGAGUGAGGUGGUUAAAAUUUAUUUUUUUAGAAUAUAAUUUUUUUCCCAUUUUAAUAUUAAAUGAUAUAAUUAGUCAAAUAUCGAGAGCUGGAUAACUGGAAUUAUAGACACUAUAUUUUACUAAUACUUUUUUUUAUACAUUAUAAGAGACAUUAUUCCAUUUUUUUGUGGAUCUUGAAAUAGUUAGUGCCAAUAAGAUUAUAUUGUACUUGCUCUAGAUAAAAAAUAUGUAAUGUUUGAAAUUUUCAUUAAUAUUUUAUUAUUCUACGCAAUUCUGGAUUGCCUUUUAUUAUGAAGUGUCAAAUUUUUUGUUACGUUUAUCUGUUGUUAUUGUAUAAUUUUAUAUUUAAAUAGCAUUAAUUAUUAUCUGUUAAACACUGUAAUUUACGGCAUUUCACAGUUUUUUUCACCACAGAUCUCAAUGUUUAUAUAUAUAUUUGAGUGACAGUGACAGUGACAUUUCACAUACAGCCAAAUGGGACAGUUGUAGUUUAAUUACAUGGUAAAUGUAUUUAUUGUAAAACCACCUUAUCUCACUAUGUUUCCAUGGUUCCUAAUCUAUACCAAAAUAUUCUAAAUUAAGUAAAAUUACUGGGUUUACACCAAUGUAAUUAGUAUGAUAAUAAAGUGUAUGGCCUAAUAUGGUCAUAAUUUUCUAAUACAACUAAGUAUUGACAGCACAAAGUUUAGUAUAAGCGUGUUUAAUAUUUUAAAUGAUAAAAUGAGAUAAGAAUCUAUGUAUCUCUGGCCUUUUUAAAUGAAUAGUUGGGCUAUGGUUAGAAGUUUUUAAAAUAUUUUCGGUAUUCUGGCCAAAAGUCAGAUAUUUUUAUAAUUAAUCAUCGACCAUUAAUCAAGUAUACUAAGGAAUUGAUAAAUUUUCAUUGUAAGAUAAUUAUUUUUUAUCACUAGGAGAUGUAAUGGAAUUUUAAAAUUUAUUAAAUUUGUGAGAUUCUUUCUCGGUUGAUUUUUUUUUCCAUUGUUUGGUGCAAGUAUAAUAUAGAAAUUGUGAUAUAUUUAUAAAACACAUCCUAAAGUGAGUUCAGUGUUCGUAGAUGUAGGCGUGAGAUUUUCGUUUUAUAAAAAAAAAAAAUACUGUUUUAUAUAUUAUCUAGUCAUUACUUA